ensembl:lncRNA
UUUUUUUUUUUUUUUGAGACAGAGUCUUGCUGUGUCACCAGGCUGGAGUGCAGUGGUGUGAUCUCAUCUCACUGCAACUUCCGCCUUCCAGAUUCAAGCAACUCUCCUACCUCAGCCUCCCAUGUAGCUGGGACUACAGGCGUGCACCACCAUACCCAGCUAAUUUCUUGUAUUUUUAGUAGAGACGGGGGUGUCACUACACUGGCCAGGCUGGUCUCAACUCCUGACCUCAGGUGAUCCACCCACAAGGCCUCCCAAAGUGCUUGGAUUACAGGUGUGAGCCACCACACCCGGCCCAAAGUGUUGGGAUUACAGGUGUGAGCCACCACACCCGGCCCAAAGUGUUGGGAUUACAGAUGUGAGCCACCACACCCGGCCCAAAGUGCUGGGAUUACAGGUGAGAGCCACCACACCCGGCCCAAAGUGCUGGGAUUACAGGUGUGAGCCACCACACCCGGCCCAAAGUGCUGGGAUUACAGGUGUGAGCCACCACACCCGGCCCAAAGUGCUGGGAUUACAGGUGUGAGCCACCACACCCGGCCCAAAGUGCUGGGAUUACAGGUGUGAGCCACCACACCCGGCCCAAAGUGCUGGGAUUACAGGUGUGAGCCACCACACCCGGCCCAAAGUGCUGGGAUUACAGGUGAGAGCCACCACACCCGGCCCAAAGUGCUGGGAUUACAGGUGUGAGCCACCACACCCGGCCCAAAGUGCUGGGAUUACAGGUGAGAGCCACCACACCCGGCCCAAAGUGCUGGGAUUACAGGUGUGAGCCACCACACCCGGCCCAAAGUGCUGGGAUUACAGGUGUGAGCCACCACACCCGGCCAAGAAUAAUUUCUCACAAAACACCUGGAGCGUUUUAUGAAGUAAAUAAACAAAAGACAGACCUGGAACUGGCAGCUGCCACCCCACCCAUCCAGACAAAGCAUGGGCUCCGUCUUCUGGUCCACAGCUCCCACAGCACCACUGUCCACCAGGGUGCUCCAUGGAGCUUCACCUUCCCGCCUGUGCUGCCGGCUGUGGUGGCCCACCGGACUGAGCCCCUGACCUGGCCGGCAUGGCCAAACAUGGGCUCUGGUGUGGAAGAGCCUCCGGGGCCUUGGCUGCAGCCCCUGAGCCUCCCUGUCACCCACUUCCCUGUCUCUUGCAGCCGAUCCCAUCUCUUCGCUGUUGUCCCAAGGCCACAUGGGCCUGACCACCCCCAGGGCUCCGCGCCCCCUCCUGGCUGACAACCACCACCUGUCUUGAGUCUGCCUGCCAGGGCUCUGCUGUUGGGCUCUGAAGUUCUCGAAUUGACCCGAACAUUCCUUGACUGUUAACAGCAGCUGCUAUGCCUGACACUUACAGUCCUGGGCAGACAGUAGCCCGCACCAUCCUCACAGCUGCUGGGGAGGGGAGCGUGGCCCGGAGACCCCUGGAUCCCUGGAUGCCCCACGCACCUCCUCCCUCUGCUGACUCCACUCUGCCCUGUCCCCAGAACGCACUGCGGCCAUGGAGACCACAGGCCUUCUAGGGGGCCAGCCAGCCUGGGGCGCCGUGGGGCCUGACGCGUCACACACCAGACCUGGAUCACACGGGCAUCGUACUCUAGCCCCUCGUGGCCUCACACAAGCCCCUGUGCUGUCCUUCAGGCCCAGGCUGCCCGCUCAGGUCUCAGCUCCAUCCUCAUCCAGCCAGCAGCCUCCGCUCCUGCGUCCUGAGGAUCUUCUAGGAAUCCGCCCUACGAGGCCCCUCCCCGGGGGUGAGGACCCUGCCCCACACAGCCAGACCGAAGGGCUCCACUUUCCGUCCCUCUGUCUUUCCCGGUCCACUUCCAGCUCUCACUUUCACGAGCCCCCCUCCCCUUCCCGGGUGCUUGAAACCCCCCCUCUGGUCUGCCCUGGGCUACCCUCUGGGCACCCCACUCUGGUCACUCACC